UGAAUGGACGUCUAGACCUACCUU
rnacentral:siRNA from 1 species